GGGGAUAUAGCUCAGUGGCACAGCACCUGCCUGACAAGCAUGAGGUCGUGAGUUCGAUCCCCA
rnacentral:tRNA from 1 species